CCUGAAAAGAAGACAUUAUUGACCAAAGGAAUGGCUGCUACCUUGAAAAUUCCCAGUGCCUCUGUACCUGCUCUACAUUGGCCACUGCACAUCUUCAUCUCAUUAAGAUUUCCUGCUAAGAAACAACACCGUUGAGCUACAAAAGCUGAUCAGUGGUCUAAGAUUCAAGCCCUGCGUAAGACAAUGGUGAUAUGGAGAAAAUGAACGGGGAAAGGAAGGGGCAACAUCAACAUACUGAGGCGAGAGUGUCACCAAAUAAAAAUACCCUGGAAUAUUGAGCCGCUAUUGAAAAUGGCUACCUUGAAAUUUACCAAAAC